UUUCUCUAGUGCUCAGUCAUUGCCUAGUGCCAAGGCUCAAGAUCUUUCUCUGCCCUGAGCUGAAACCGUUGCAUUUGUUACAUUUGUUCUAGAGCCACUGGAGCAUUUCAGGCCAUUCAUCUCAUGAGACACGUGAACUAAAGACACUUUGCUGGCAUGGAGAUGGCCAGUUCCUGGCACAGGACCUUUCCAAUCAGUACUGCUCUGCAUUGCAAGGUGCAGAAGGAAGCAGAAUUGCAGGAGUUUGGUCAAAUCUCCAGGAGAUCAUAACAAGUCCAUAAGAGUAAGUCACCACUACUUGCAGGGAUCUCGUGUGGGGCUGGCAUAUGCUUCCAUUACUUUGUCACGUCUGCUUCUAGUCGGGUGCGUGACUGCAAACAUACGAGAAAUCUCUCAGAGUACCUCGCCUGCAUUUUCUCCUGUUCCCAGACUUCCUUCUUGUGAAGCAACUGGCCCAACAGCUACUUGGCUUCUUUGUGAUCUUGAAGACACUUUACACUUAGAUUUGAUCAUCACCUGCUGGGUUAUUUCCCCAAUCCUCUCGUUUAUGCCUUCACAAUGGUGAUUGUGUUUCUAGAAGCUCUAUGUGCAACAUCUGGCAAGACACAGGCAUCCAAGAUGGCUCCGCCUGACUCUAUUCUUCAUGCCACGGUGCCUUUGCCUGGCUUUGCCUUAAUAGUUUAAAACAGCUGGUCACAGAUGAUUCAGGAAAACAUGAAGAGGAAGCGUUAUCUGUGUGUGUAGAGUACAGGCGCUACGGUUUUUGCUUCAUUCUUCUUUAAAGAACCAGUGCGAGACUCAUGUUAGACAUGGGGAACAAUACCUCCUACGCUACAGCAUAGGGAGAGAAAAACACUUUUGGGGUUCUUGCCUUUAUGUUCUAGUCCAUAAAUUCUACUUUGCUAUAUAUAAUCCUUAGCUAGAGGUACAGGCAGUCCCUGGGUUAUGUACAAGA